AACGCUGGCGGCGCGCUUAACACAUGCAAGUCGAGCGAGAACCAGUCCUUCGGGACUGGGGAAAGCGGCGAACGGGUGAGUAACACGUGGGUAAUCUGCCCUCGGCACUGGGAUAGCCCGGGGAAACCCGGAUUAAUACCGGAUAGCCUUUCGAGCCUUCGGGCUCGUCAGAAAAGGUGGCUUCGGCUUCCGGCUGAGGAUGAGCCCGCGGCGGAUUAGCUUGUUGGUGGGGUAAUGGCCCACCCAGGCGACGAUCCGUAGCUGGUCUGAGAGGACGAUCAGCCACACUGGGACUGAGACACGGCCCAGACUCCUACGGGAGGCAGCAGUGGGGAAUCUUGCGCAAUGGGCGAAAGCCUGACGCAGCGACGCCGCGUGAGGGAAGAAGGCCUUCGGGUUGUAAACCUCUUUCAGGAGGGACGAGGCCACUCGGGUUAAUAGCCCAGAGGGUGACGGUACCUCCAGAAGAAGCCCCGGCUAACUACGUGCCAGCAGCCGCGGUAAAAC
rnacentral:rRNA from 1 species